GACGAACGCUGGCGGCGUGCUUAACACAUGCAAGUCGAACGGAAAGGCCCUGCUUGUGUGGGGUGCUCGAGCGGCGAACGGGUGAGUAACACGUGAGUAUCCUGCCCUUGACUUUGGGAUAACUUCAGGGAACUGGGGCUAAUACCGGAUAGGCGCCUCUGCUGCAUGGGGGGGGCUGGAAAGUUUCGGCGGUUGGGGAUGGACUCGCGGCUUAUCAGCUUGUUGGUGGGGUAGUGGCUUACCAAGGCGUUGCCGGGUAGCCGGCCUGGGAGGGUGACCGGCCACAUUGGGCCUGAGGUACGGCCCAGACUCCUACGGGCGGCAGCAGUGGGGGAUAUUGCACAAUGGGCGGAAGCCUGAUGCAGCAACGCCGCGUGCGGGAUGACGGCCUUCGGGUUGUAAACCGCCUUCGCCUGUGACGAAGCGUGAGUGACGGUAAUGGGUAAAGAAGCACCGGCUAACUCCGUG
rnacentral:rRNA from 1 species